rnacentral:rRNA from 1 species
AGUAGAAGUUGGACUUGAAACCUAAAAUUUUUGGCGGUUUUUCAAUCCUAUUAGAGGAACUUGUCCUGUAAUCGAUGGUCCACGUUGGGGUUUACUUUCUCUUUAUAUAUCGCCGUCAAUGACAGGUCAAGAUGUAGCUGAUGGGAGGGUGAAGGUGGAUUUAAAUGUGAAGAUAGAGCUUCUGGGCUCUGGGGAAUGU